AUCACCAUACCAGGGACAAUGGGGACUUACAGUACCCUUGCUACCUGCAUGGACCCUAGUUGGAUUUACACCAUCCCUUCAGCUGCUGGCGAUUGUAAGAAACGUUAGCCAAAAUUAAAAUAACAAAAAUACUACGAUUAAAAUUCCGAUAA